rnacentral:rRNA from 1 species
AUUGAACGCUGGCGGCAUGCCUUACACAUGCAAGUCGAACGGCAUCGCGGGAAAGCUUGCUUUCCUGGCGGCGAGUGGCGAACGGGUGAGUAACACAUCGGAACGUACCGGCUAGUGGGGGAUAACCCGUCGAAAGACGGGCUAAUACCGCAUACGCUCUUCGGAGGAAAGCAGGGGACCUUUGGGCCUUGCGCUAGCCGAGCGGCCGAUGUCUGAUUAGCUAGUUGGUGGGGUAAAGGCCUACCAAGGCGACGAUCGGUAGCGGGUCUGAGAGGACGAUCCGCCACACUGGGACUGAGACACGGCCCAGACUCCUACGGGAGGCAGCAGUGGGGAAUCUUGGACAAUGGGGGCAACCCUGAUCCAGCAAUGCCGCGUGGGUGAAGAAGGCCUUCGGGUUGUAAAGCCCUUUCGGCAGGGAAGAAAUCGGCGGGGCGAAUAACCCUGCUGGAUGACGGUACCUGCAGAAGAAGCACCGGCUAACUACGUG